AUUUUUACCUAUAUAUUUGCAGAUAAGAAAAUUGCUGCUCAAAUUUUUUUCAAUAAUUUCAAAGAAAAGCACUCUCAACCGAUAAAUCAUCAUGUCUUUCAUCUCUGGGACUCCCCCUUCCCGGGAGUCUAAAUUGCCGAUCUGUGUGAACUGGACUAGAUCUCAAAUGACUAGGAAAGAAUGUCCAGUGGUUAAGGCAUUAUAGCCUAGGACUUGGGAAACCCGGCCUUAAUUCCGUGCUCCACCAGAGACUUGCCCAGGAUCACACACAGAAAGUUACUUCGCCUCUCUGUUCCCCAUUUGUAAAAUUAGGAUAGCACUUUCCUACCUCCCAAAGAUGUUUAGAAUAAAGACUGUAAGGCACUAAGAUAAAACAGUGAUGCGGGGAUGUAUACAGGAGCGCCACCAGCUUUUUUGCCGCCCUAGGCGGCGGAAGGUCCCGCUGCUGCAGUCACCGACCCCCAAAUGUUAGUGCCCUAGGUGACCGCCUAGGUCGCCUAAUGGGUUGCGCCGGCCCUGGACAUAUAAGUACUUUAAACAGAACAGUACUUCUCAUCACAAAAGCAUAUUUAAUAAUAGAAUAGAAACUUGUAUGCCUGGAAAUUUUCUGGCUAAGAAAACAUCAAGAAAAAACUUAACCAUGUGAUCCCUUUGGGGAAAUUGGACUACUUAGGUCAGACUUGGAACACUACUGUGGGUAAAUCUGCAGUGUAUCAAUUUGGGACAAUUUUUGGCCUUGCCACAAAUAGAACAGUAACUUCUAUUUCCUAUUUCCCUUCCUUGCCACAAAUAGAACACUGCUGCAUUUCUUCCAAGUUCAUAGGUGUGUACCUUUACAUUUAAAGACUGUG